rnacentral:lncRNA from 1 species
GGUCUGUGUAAUAGUACUAGCAUUUACAUAUGCUAGCAAUGAGCUGCAAACUUACACCACAUUUACAAGAAGUAAGCUGUCUUCAAUAUUUUUCCUAUUUCAAAUUUUCGUUUAAAGACCUUUGUCACUAAGCUAUCUCAAACUUAGUACAUGUACUGUGCUGGUCUGUGUUAUAGUACUAGCACUUACAUGUGCUGGGAAUAAGCUGCUAUCUGAAGCUAUAUAUAUGCAAAAGAAGAAAUCUGAUCUUUAAUUACUCACAUUUCCUUUUUUUUUCUAUUUCCUAUUUUGUUAGUCUCUAAGCUAUCUUAUUCUUAGUACAUGUACUGUUCUGGUCUGUGUUAUAUUAUUUAAUAGCACUUACAUAUGCUUGGAAUAAGGUGCUUACUU